GGGUGAGUAGCUCAGUGGUAGAGCACUUCCUUCACACGGAAGGGGUCGUAGGUUCAAACCCUACCUGACCCACCA
rnacentral:tRNA from 1 species